GGCUCAGGACGAACGCUGGCGGCGUGCUUAACACAUGCAAGUCGAACGGAAAGGCCCUUCGGGGUGCUCGAGUGGCGAACGGGUGAGUAACACGUGGGUGAUCUGCCCUGCACUUUGGGAUAAGCCUGGGAAACUGGGUCUAAUACCGAAUAGGACUCCGGACUGCAUGGUCUGGGGUGGAAAGCUUUUGCGGUGUGGGAUGGGCCCGCGGCCUAUCAGCUUGUUGGUGGGGUGAUGGCCUACCAAGGCGACGACGGGUAGCCGGCCUGAGAGGGUGACCGGCCACACUGGGACUGAGAUACGGCCCAGACUCCUACGGGAGGCAGCAGUGGGGAAUAUUGCACAAUGGGCGCAAGCCUGAUGCAGCGACGCCGCGUGGGGGAUGACGGCCUUCGGGUUGUAAACCUCUUUCAGCACAGACGAAGCGCAAGUGACGGUAUGUGCAGAAGAAGCACCGGCCAACUACGUGCCAGCAGCCGCGGUAAUACGUAGGGUGCGAGCGUUGUCCGGAAUUACUGGGCGUAAAGAGCUCGUAGGUGGUUUGUCGCGUUGUUCGUGAAAACUCACAGCUUAACUGUGGGCGUGCGGGCGAUACGGGCAGACUGGAGUACUGCAGGGGAGACUGGAAUUCCUGGUGUAGCGGUGGAAUGCGCAGAUAUCAGGAGGAACACCGGUGGCGAAGGCGGGUCUCUGGGCAGUAACUGACGCUGAGGAGCCAAA
rnacentral:rRNA from 1 species